rnacentral:piRNA from 1 species
UGCAGGACUUACAGAGAGGAAACUUCCU